GACGAACGCUGGCGGCGUGCUUAACACAUGCAAGUCGAACGGAAAGGCCCUGCUUUUGUGGGGUGCUCGAGUGGCGAACGGGUGAGUAACACGUGAGUAACCUGCCCUUGACUUUGGGAUAACUUCAGGAAACUGGGGCUAAUACCGGAUAGGAGCUCCUGCUGCAUGGUGGGGGUUGGAAAGUUUCGGCGGUUGGGGAUGGACUCGCGGCUUAUCAGCUUGUUGGUGGGGUAGUGGCUUACCAAGGCUUUGACGGGUAGCCGGCCUGGGAGGGUGACCGGCAACAUUGGGACUGAGAUACGGCCCAGACUCCUACGGGAGGCAGCGGUGGGGAAUAUUGCACAAUGGGCGGAAGCCUGAUGCAGCAACGCCGCGUGCGGGAUGACGGCCUUCGGGUUGUAAACCGCUUUCGCCUGUGACGAAGCGUGAGUGACGGUAAUGGGUAAAGAAACACCGGCUAACUACGU
rnacentral:rRNA from 1 species